rnacentral:lncRNA from 1 species
GAACUCAGCCCCAGGACCAGCUGGAUGAGGGUCCUGAGACUUCAGUGUGUUAGUAGAACAGGUUAGUGAACUCAGCCCCAGGACCAGCUGGAUGAGGGUCCUGAGGCUUCAGUGUGUUAGUAGAACAGGUUAGUGAACUCAGCCCCAGGACCAGCUGGAUGAGGGUCCUGAGACUUCAGUGUGUUAGUAGAACAGGUUAGUGAACUCAGCCCCAGGACCAGCUGGAUGAGGGUCCUGAGGCUUCAGUGUGUUAGUAGAACAGGUUAGUGAACUCAGCCCCAGGACCAGCUGGAUGAGGGUCCUGAGACUUCAGUGUGUUAGUAGAACAGGUUAGUGAACUCAGCCCCAGGACCAGCUGGAUGAGGGUCCUGAGGCUUCAGUGUGUUAGUAGAACAGGUUAGUAGAACAGGUUAGAGAGUGAGAGAAGUGUGUGUGUGUUCUACUCUAAACAGAAACUGAUAUUCAUCUGUUCAUCUGAGAGAGGGAGAGAAUGUGAGUCAUCAUUCAGGAUGGUUUGAACAAGGUGUGCUGGAAACACCCCCACGUAUCGGAAUGCUGCUCUGGCCUUCAUCCACACACACACACACACACACACACACACACACACACACACACACACACACACACACACACACACACUCACACUCACACACACACACACACACACUCACACUCACUCACACUCACACACACACACACCACGCUAC